GGGUCCCGUCCCAGGAUGUACCAACAAAUGAGGUCCUAAAACCUGGAGGAGGUUAGGAACUUACUGGCUGGGUGACACAGAGCUAUGAAGAUGCCUGAACUUAUCCUCCCAAAGACUGAGGCAAAGAAACGAGAGAUUAACUGUGAAAAAUCUUGCUUAGAACUUUUGGAGUCCUGAUGACUGCAGCACAAAUCAGAAAACUCAACACAAUUCCUUGGAGAUGUUCACCAGCAUAGAAGCUGCAAGCUAAAAGGGAAGCAGGGCCUUUACUCUUAAAUAAUUCUUAUUUAAUUCUAAUAUCUAGCAAUCAGUUGGAUGAAAAUCUCUCUUUGUUUAACAUUCAACAGCUGCUGUUCUAUUAAUGCCUCCAUA